ACAGGUUUAUGCAAUACGUUGAAUGCGCCAUAGAUUUCGAUUAGUGCUAAAUGUAGCUGAUUUCUCGCCACACAUUGGAAUACGAUGACACUGUUAGGCUUCCGGAAAAACGGCUACCGUCGUUAUUGUUCUUGACUCAAAAGGACGACGAUGACAGAAAUAGUGACGCUGAUGAUGACCAUCUUUUCGAGUAAGCAUACUCGAGUAAACAUACUGUCAGCUCACGCGAAGCGACCUGGUCGGCGUUAUCCCCGGCAGUAGGAAAGCUAAUUGCUACUGAUGAUCACUGAAGAGCAGGACACGCUUGAGUGAUCGCUGAUGAAGAGGUGGCUGAUCACCAGUGUGUUCUUCAAUAUCAGUUUUACCAAGUAACACUUCCCGAUAGUAGGGACAAAGCGAUUGCGGACGUUUACAGCCCGUAGGUUUCACAACAAUUCCCGCGGGAAUCCGUCAUAUGAGCAGACGGUUUUUUAGCCCGAGAAGAGAGACUGCUAUUUACAGAAUUCGAUCGGAUAGCCUUACGUUUGUCAGGAUCAGUCGGAACGGAGUCGGAUGUUCCUGGUGUCUGACUCCCUAACGAUUUCAAAAUGAUCAAUUUGUCGACGACUCGAGAUUAGGACAUACAUUGUUUCGAGUUAGCUUCGAGGGGAGUUAGCUAAGGAUAUUUGGAGUAUCUUCCGACAGCUGUAUGCAUAUCUUUUAUACACUUAAAUAGUAUAUAAUGUAAAUUAACGUUGAAUUUUGCGACCGAAAUACAAAAUGAUCAUUGUUAGCAGCUACGUGAUUAUCAGGUGAGGCCUACCUGUACAUCGAAAUUUCGAGAUUUUAUUUUUUUCAAUAUUAACUAAAUAACCUUAUCAUCAUAAUUAAUAAAAUCUAACAGAUCCGUA